GGAAUAAGAUUUUUCAUUAUUGCAUAUCAGGUAUCAAUGUAAUAGUGCAUUCACUCAAGUAUAAUAGGCAUUCAUCCAAAAAAGAAAUGAGCCAAAUAAAAUGAUAAUAACCUCAUUCAUUAAUACCAAAAAGAGAGGUUACAAGAGUCAUAAUGAGCAUAAAGCUCUCAUACAUCCAAUCUACAAAAUAUAACUAAGUAACCUAAUACAAAAUGAUGAAAUCAGUGA
rnacentral:lncRNA from 1 species